GACGAACGCUGGCGGCGUGCUUAACACAUGCAAGUCGAGCGGUAAGGCCCUUUCGGGGUACGACGAGCGGCGAACGGGUGAGUAACACGUGGGUGACCUGCCCUCAGCUCUGGGAUAAGCCUGGGAAACCGGGUCUAAUACUGGAUAUGACUCCAUGACGCAUGUUGUGGGGUGGAAAGCCUUGUGCGGCUGAGGAUGGGCCCGCGGCCUAUCAGCUUGUUGGUGGGGUGANGGCCUACCAAGGCGACGACGGGUAGCCGGCCUGAGAGGGCGACCGGCCACACUGGGACUGAGACACGGCCCAGACUCCUACGGGAGGCAGCAGUGGGGAAUCUUGCGCAAUGGGCGAAAGCCUGACGCAGCGACGCCGCGUGAGGGAUGACGGCC
rnacentral:rRNA from 1 species